UACGUAGGGUGCAAGCGUUGUCCGGAAUUAUUGGGCGUAAAGAGCUCGUAGGCGGCUUGUCGCGUCGGCUGUGAAAACCUGGGGCUCAACCCCGGGCCUGCAGCCGAUACGGGCAAGCUAGAAUUCGGUAGGGGAGACUGGAAUUCCUGGUGUAGCGGUGAAACGCGCAGAUAUCAGGAGGAACACCGGUGGCGAAGGCGGGUCUCUGGGCCGAAAUUGACGCUGAGGAGCGAAAGCGUGGGGAGCGAACAGG
rnacentral:rRNA from 1 species